AGAUUUACAAAUAAGUCAACAUGACUGAAAUGGUCAGUUGACCCCUUUAGGAGUUAUUGCCCUUUAUAGUCAAUUUUUAACCAUUUUUCGUAAAUCUUAGUAAUAUUUUACAAAAAUCUUCUCCUCUGAAACUACUGGGCCAAAUUAAUCCAAACUUGGCCACAAUCAUCUUUUGGGUUAGUAGUUUGAAAAAUGUGUCCGGUGACCCGGCCAUCAAACCAAGAUGGCCGCCAUGGCUAAAAAUAGAACAUAGAGUAAAAUGCAGUUUUUGGCUUAUAACUCAAAACCCAAAGCAUUUAGAGCAAAUCUGACAGGGGUAAAAUUGUUUAUCAGUUCAAGAUCUAUCUGCCCUGAAAUUUUCAGAUGAAUCGGACAACCCGUUGUUGGGUUGCUGGCCCUGAAUAGUAAUUUUAAGGAAAUUUUGCUCUUUUUGGUUAUUAUCUUGAAUAUUAUUAUAGAUAGAGAUAAACUAUAAACAGCAAUAAUGUUCACCAAAGUAAGAUUUACAAAUAAGUCAAACAUGACUGAAAUGGUCAGUUGACCCCUUUAGGAGUUAUUGCCCUUUAUAGUCAAUUUUUAACCAUUUUUCGUAAAUCUUAGUAAUCUUUUACAAAAAUCUUCUCCUCUGAAACUACUUGGCCAAAUUAAUCAAAACUUGGCCACAAUCAUCUUUUGGGUUAGUAGUUUGAAAAAUGUGUCUGGUGACCCGGCCAUCUAACCAAGAUGGCCGCCAUGGCUAAAAAUAGAACAUGGGGUAAAAUGCAGUUUUUGGCUUAUAACUCAAAACCCAAAGCAUUUAGAGCAAAUCUGUCGGGG
rnacentral:lncRNA from 1 species